UGUGGUUUUCUGGGAGGACAAAAAUUUCAAGUAGUUUGACCAGAUUCUAACUUGAAUGAAAGGAACUGGAAUAUGGAAUGAGUUUUCAUGGAAACAAUAUCUAAAUAAUUGGAGAAGUGGAGGUUGUUGGUGGUUCUUGAAGACGCUAUGUGCCGACCACUCCCUGAUGGUGGUCAAAAGUGUUCCACUUUGCAAAUCUCUGCACAAAGGUAUAGGUUUUAUGGAGCGGCCCAACUACUUGGAGUGUUCCACAGCGAUGAGGCAUCGGCCCAGUCAAGGAUACCACUGUCACAUUAUUGGACAAAACAUUACAAGGAUGCCCGAUGACACCAGAAACAUCAACAAGAACAGCAUAUUAAAACAAUCAACCUAUGCAUCACAACUCACUUUAUAUUCAAUGGACAAGUAUACAGAAAAAUCAACAGCACACCAAUGAGGUCCACAAUGUCAGGAUUCAUAUCAGAAGCAGUAAUGCAAUGCUUAGAAUGAACAGUCCGCCCCACCAUCCAACCCAAACUCUGGAUCCGAUACGUAGAUGACACCUUUGUCAUCAUUAAACGCACACAACUAGAAGAAACUUGCCACCACAUCAAUAACAUCCUCACUGGAAUAAAGUUCACUAAAGAAGAGAAAAACAACAGGAGACUCCCUUUCUUAGAUGUAUUAGUGGAAUGCACACCUACCAGGGAACUCCAGGCCAGUGUGUACAGUAAGACGCCCACUAGAUACUGAACUAUAAUAGCAACCAUCCCAGCACCCACAAACAGAACUGCAUUCGGACAUAUUGCAGCAACCCAGAACUCCAGAAAGCAGAAGAUGAACACCUACUCAAGGGAUUUAAACAAAUCUAGUACCCCAAGAGCACUAUCCUCCAGUACUUACGGGACAAACCCAAAGAAGAAAACACUACACGACCAGACAGGAUAGCGACUAGACCAUACAUCAAAGACAUAUCACAGAUAACUACCUGACUACUCAGAUUCCUGGGAAUCUUGGUGGCCCACAAACCAACAAACACCUUCCACCGACUCCUCAUAAAGGUUAAAGACCUGACACCCACAUCAAAUAGGACGAACAUCAUCUACAAGAUACCUGCAAAGACUGUGAAGAACACUACAUAUGACAAACAGGAAGAAAACUGACCAUUUGAGUGCACGAACAUCAGCUCGCCACUGCCAGACAUGACCAGCACUCUCUGAUUUCCAACCACACAGACAAUGAAGGACACAAAUUCAACUGGGAUGAUGUAACCAUCCAUGCACAGGUAAAACAGAGACACGCCAGAGAAAUCCUUGAAGCCUGGCACUCCAAAUCAAUAGACACUUUGAACUGGACCCCAUAUACAAACCACUUAGAUACCGAACCAGAAGUACCAACAAACAGAUAUGUAAAUACUAGGCAUGAGAGUCUACUAAUACCUUAUCAAAUACGCACUGAUGAUAUUACAUAGUGAGGCGAUGAAAUGUUUGCAGAAAAACACCGGCUCAGCGAACGAAUCCACA